CGGGUGAGUAACGCGUGGGUAACCUGCCUUAUACAGGGGGAUAACAGUCAGAAAUGGCUGCUAAUACCGCAUAAGCGCACAGAGCUGCAUGGCUCAGUGUGAAAAACUCCGGUGGUAUAAGAUGGACCCGCGUUGGAUUAGCUAGUUGGCGAGGUAACGGCCCACCAAGGCGACGAUCCAUAGCCGACCUGAGAGGGUGACCGGCCACAUUGGGACUGGGACACGGCCCAA
rnacentral:rRNA from 1 species